rnacentral:rRNA from 1 species
CAUGAACUACUAACUGAAAUCAUACUAAUUUCAAGUAUGAUAACGUAAGGGAAGAUAAUGACAUUACCUUACUAUUAGUGUUGUCAAAAAUUGGUGCCAGAAGACUCGGUAAGGCCAAAAACGCAAACGUUAGUCGUCUUAAUCAGGCGUAAAGGGUGUGUAGGCUGCUUUAAAUUUUUAUUUUAUUACUUUAAUUAAAAUUAUUUUUGUUUUUUUUAAUAAAAAAAAGAAGAAUUUAAGUAAUUUAGACUAGUUUUUUUUUUAAAUAAGUCAAAAUAAAAAAAAUUUAAAAAAAUCAUUAAGUAAAAUAAAAAGAAUAAAAGCUAGAAUCAAAUAGAGGAUAUUUUAAAUAAUACUUAGAGGAGGGGUGAUAUCCUUAGAUACUAAGUAGAGUAUUAAUGGUGAAAACUUUUAUCUAUUAAUGAUUGACGCUGAGAAACGAAGGUGAGGAUAGGAAAUAGGAUUAGAGACCCAGAUACCCCUCUCUGUCAACGAUGAAUGGUGGUUGCUAGUUAAUUAAAUAAUUGGUGACUAUGUUAACACGAUAACCAUUUCCGCCAUGUGAGUACGACUGCCAAAGUUGAAAACAAAAAAAUUAGUCGGUCUC